GAUGAACGCUGGCGGCGUGCCUAAUACAUGCAAGUCGAGCGAACAGACGAUGAGCUUGCUCCUCUGACGUUAGCGGCGGACGGGUGAGUAGCACGUGGAUAACCUACCUAUAAGACUGAGAUAACUGCGAGAAACCGUAACUAAUGCCGGGUAAUAUAUUUAGCCUCAUGGUUCAAUAGUGAAAGACGGUUUUGCUGUCACUUAUAGAUGGAUCCGCGCCGCAUUAGCUAGUUGGUAAGGUAACGGCUUACCAAGGCAACGAUGCGUAGCCGACCUGAGAGGGUGAUAGGCCACCUUGGAAGUGAGACACGGUCCAGACUCCUACGGGACGCAGCAGUCGGGUAUGUGCCGCAACGGGCGAAAGUAUGACGGAGCAACGCCGCGUGAGUGAUGACGGUGCCCGGAUCGUAAAAAUCUGUUACGAGGGAAGAACAAAUGUGUCAGUAAAUAUGCACGUUUUGACGGUACCUAAUCAGAAAGCCCCGGCUAACUACGUG
rnacentral:rRNA from 1 species